GGUAAAAUGGCUGAGGUUAAGGCGAUAAAUUGUAAAUUUAUAUAUGAAAGUGAUUUCUUUUACUA
rnacentral:tRNA from 1 species